CCUACGGGAGGCAGCAGUGGGGAAUAUUGGACAAUGGGCGAAAGCCUGAUCCAGCAAUGCCGCGUGAGUGAUGAAGGCCUUAGGGUUGUAAAGCUCUUUUACCAGGGAUGAUAAUGACAGUACCUGGAGAAUAAGCUCCGGCUAACUCCGUGCCAGCAGCCGCGGUAAUACGGAGGGAGCUAGCGUUGUUCGGAAUUACUGGGCGUAAAGCGUACGUAGGCGGUUAUUCAAGUCAGAGGUGAAAGCCUGGAGCUCAACUCCAGAACUGCCUUUGAAACUAGAUAGCUAGAAUCUUGGAGAGGUGAGUGGAAUUCCGAGUGUAGAGGUGAAAUUCGUAGAUAUUCGGAAGAACACCAGUGGCGAAGGCGACUCACUGGACAAGUAUUGACGCUGAGGUACGAAAGCGUGGGGAGCAAACAGGAUUAGAUACCCUGGUAGUCCACGCCGUAAACGAUGAUAACUAGCUGUUCGGGCUCUACGAGCUUGUAGUGGCGCAGCUACGACAUUAAGUUAUCCGUCCGUCGGGAGGUACGGUCGCGAAGAAUUAAACUAACAAUAGAAGUUAGUACGGCGUGAGACGUCGCCGAACGGACGACGACGAGGGAGGUUAGG
rnacentral:rRNA from 1 species